rnacentral:tRNA from 1 species
UCCCGGGUAGCUCAGCUGGUAGAGCAGGUGGCUGUUAACCACCCUGUCGGGGGUUCGAAUCCCUCCCCGGGAGCCA